UACGUAGGGUGCAAGCGUUGUCCGGAAUUAUUGGGCGUAAAGAGCUCGUAGGCGGUCUGUUGCGUCGGCUGUGAAAACCCGGGGCUCAACCCCGGGCCUGCAGCCGAUACGGGCAGACUAGAGUUCGGCAGGGGAGACUGGAAUUCCUGGUGUAGCGGUGAAAUGCGUAGAUAUCGGGAGGAACACCUGAGGCGAAGGCGGGCUACUGGGCCGAUACUGACGCUGAUGCGCGAAAGCCAGGGGAGCGAACGGG
rnacentral:rRNA from 1 species